rnacentral:lncRNA from 1 species
GUCAUUUCCCAUGAACCAUUGCAGAAUUGUCUAGCCCCUCUUCUGUUCUAUCCUCUACUUUAUAGCAAUUUUCUCCAAAUUGAAACUUUUCUUCAUGAAGGGCGGAGGGUGACUUGUAAGACUCGGCAAGCUGGGGCAGAGGAGCCGGUUCAGUUGGUAAAGUGCUUGAAGACCAGAAUUCAACACCAAAACCCAUGUAAAAGGAUGAUUAUGAUAGCUGUGCUUGAAAUACCAGCAUUGGGAACACAGGGAUGGAAGAAUCCCCAGGGCUCACCAGCCAGCCAGUCUGGACUACUUGGUGCCUUUCCAGCCAAUGAGAAGUCCUGUCCCAAAAGUAGGCUUCUGUCUGUUACAGGAUUUGUAAUCUCCCUGCCUGGGUUAUAGAAGUAAAAACAACUGCCAUGGACAGAAGACUCUGGCCUGCUGAUCUGAUGCAGCCCUUUCGGGAACAGCAGGCAGGUGUCUUUCAUGAGUUGUCACAUAUUAUGGGAUGGGCUUUCUGGUGAUGAAGCUGCCUUGACUCAUCUAUGGUUUGUGGUAAGUAACCCAUGCAAGCUCACUGGAUCACUAAGCUGGACUUGGAUGGAGGCUCAAUCGAUUGUCACUAGUGUUCUAUCUGGAAUGAAUUGACAUUUGCUCAUAUCUCUCCAGAACUGGAGGUACUCUCACACAGUACCUAAGUCUCUUCUCAACCCAGUAGUUCAAGAAGCCCCAUGAAAAUGUUGGCUGGAUAUUUGCAUUCUCCUCCUGAAGUCAACCACAAUCUCCUACUCUCAGACUUCAUUGCCCUUUAUGCAGACCCCAUUUUCAGAUGGCUUCAGCCAAAUUCGCUGCUCUUCAUACUAUAGUGCACUGUGUAAUUCAAAUGCUGAUUUCUGUGCCCCCAUAUCUGGUUGCAAUCCUUAUUCUAAGUAUCUCCUGUCUCAAAUGUCUCAAUAUUGUGUAAACAUUGCUCCACAAUUCUUCCCUGGUUUGCCAGUAAAAGCUGAUCAGCCAAUGACUGAGCAGGGGAGAGAAUAGGGCAGGACUUCCACCCAGCCAGGAGAGGAGCAAGUGGAUUAGCCAUGGGGAAAGGGUCCAGGAUGUCGUGAGAAAACAGUUUGAACAGAACAGAAAAAAAAAAAAAACCAUAAAAUACAAGUGUCUCAGGUUUUAGCUGGGAGGCAACGAGAUUAGUUUCAAGGAUUAACAUAGAAUAACACUGCUCAGUUGUUGUGCCUUUAAAGCUUGUUAAAAAAAUAUAAUGGUCCAAUCUUGAUGGCUGGAGAGAUGACUCAGUGGUUAAGACCAUUGGCUGCUCUUGCAGGAGGUCCUGAGUUCAAUUCCCAGCAACCACAUGGUAGCUCACAAUCAUCUGUAAUUGGAUCUGAUCCCUUCUUCUGAUGCAUCAGCAACAGCAUAUUCACAUACAUAAAAUAAAUAAGCUAAUCUUAAAAAAAGAAAAACACAAGACCUACAGAGUGAGCUAACCUGGGUCCAUAGGACCUCACAGAGACUGGGCCACCAAGCAGGGAGCAUGCAGGGACAGGACCUAGGCCCCCUACACAUUUGUAGCAAAUGUGCAGCUUAGUUUUCAUGUGGGAGCCCUAACAAGUGGAGAGGGGUCUGUCUCAGUCUCACUUCCCUGCAUUGGAUCCCCUUCUCCUACCUAGACUGCCUGCUUGGGCCUCAGUGGGAGAGGAUGUGCCUAAUUCUGCUGAGACUAGAUGUUCCAGGGUGGGGUGGUACCCAAGGUGGGGGCUCUCCCUUCUCUGGAGAGAAAGGGAAAUGACAAUGGGAGAAGGGAUUUGUAAGGGUGGUACUGGGAGAAGAAGAGGGAGGAGGGUCUGUGAUCUGGAUGUAAAGUGAAUUAAAAAAAAUAAAUUUUGGAAAAAUAAAAUAAAAAUUAUAUAGUUAGUGUGUUAAGUUUUCCUCUUACACAGCUAGCUCUUAAAUAACUAAGAUGGAUUUGGUCCCCAUUCUCACUAAGGUGCCCAUUAGGCACUUCAUCUAAGAUGUAAGCCCUCCUGAGCAAAUCCUAGUUUCUUUCCCUUCUAAAAGAACGAUCUGUUUAUUCUUAUUGUCUACCUUCCAAGAACACAUUAGUACUAGGGCAAAGAUUUUCUUCACUUACUGCUGUGUAUUUCUCUUCAAGGGCAGUACCUGACUUACAGCAGGAAUAUAUGAAGUAGUUGCUCAGAAAACAGCUAUUGGGGAACUAGAAAAGUGUUCCAGUAGUUAAGAGCACUUGCUGCUCUUGCAGAGGCUGCAGUUGAGCUCCCAGCAUGCACAGGGUAACUCACAGCUACCUGUAAGUCCAGUUACAAGAAAUCUAACACCCUCUUCUGGCCUCCAUGGGCACCAGGCAAGCAUGUAGAACACAUACAUACAUACAUACAUACAUACAUACAUACAUACAUACAUACAUACUGUGAUGGUUUGUAUAUUCUUGGACCAGUGAGUGGCACCAUUUGGAGGUGUGGCCUUGUUGGAAUAGGUGUGACCUGGUUGGCGUAGCUGUGUCACUGUGGGUGUGGGCUUAAGACUCUCACCCCAGUUGCCUGGAAGUUAGUCUUCCACUAGCAGCCUUUGGAUGAAGACGUAGAACUCUC